rnacentral:rRNA from 1 species
AGUGAACGCUGGCGGCAGGCCUAACACAUGCAAGUCGAACGGCAGCACAGUGGAGCUUGCUCCAUGGGUGGCGAGUGGCGGACGGGUGAGGAAUACAUCGGAAUCUGCUCAGUCGUGGGGGAUAACAUAGGGAAACUUAUGCUAAUACCGCAUACGACCUACGGGUGAAAGCGGGGGAUCGCAAGACCUCGCGCGAUUGGAUGAGCCGAUGUCCGAUUAGCUAGUUGGCGGGGUAAUGGCCCACCAAGGCGACGAUCGGUAGCUGGUCUGAGAGGAUGAUCAGCCACACUGGAACUGAGACACGGUCCAGACUCCUACGGGAGGCAGCAGUGGGGAAUAUUGGACAAUGGGCGCAAGCCUGAUCCAGCCAUGCCGCGUGGGUGAAGAAGGCCUUCGGGUUGUAAAGCCCUUUUGUCCGGAAAGAAACGCCUCGGAUUAAUACUCUGGGGUAAUGACGGUACCGGAAGAAUAAGCACCGGCUAACUUCGUGCCAGCCGCCGCAGUAACAC